rnacentral:rRNA from 1 species
CAGUAGCCGCGGGAACACGGAGGGGGCUAGCGUUGUUCGGAAUUACUGGGCGUAAAGCGCACGUAGGCGGCUUGGUAAGUUAGAGGUGAAAGCCUGGAGCUCAACUCCAGAAUUGCCUUUAAGACUGCCGAGCUAGCAGGUGAGAGAGGUAAGUGGAAUUCCGAGUGUAGAGGUGAAAUUCGUAGAUAUUCGGAAGAACACCAGUGGCGAAGGCGGCUUACUGGCUCAUACUGGACGCUGAGGUGCGAAAGCGUGGGGAGCAAACAGGAUUAGAUACCCGUGUAGUCCCUGUCUCUUAUAC